rnacentral:misc_RNA from 1 species
GUCACUCAUAAUUGUUGAGUACAUUGAUGAAGUUUGGAAGGACAAAUCAACACCUUUGAUGCCUAGUGAUCCUUACAAGAGAGCUCAUGCUAGGUUUUGGGCUGAUUAUAUUGGAAAAAAGAUUUAUGAUGGUGGAAUGAAAAUUUGGAGCUCAAAAGUGGAAGAGCACAAAACAGCCAAUAAAGAUUUCAUAGAGUGUUUGAAAGUGUUAGAAGGUGAAUUGGGAGACAAACCAUACUUUGAUGGAAAAAAUUUUGGACUUGUGGAUAUGGCUUUUAUUCCUUAUUAUAGUUGGUUUCCUGUUUAUAAAAAACUUAGCAAUUUAAAUAUUGAAGCAGAGUGUCCUAAAUUUGUGGCAUGGGCCAAAAGGUGUAUGCAAAAGGAGAGUGUCU